rnacentral:rRNA from 1 species
GCGGCGUGCUUAACACAUGCAAGUCGCACGAGAACACCUCAGCUUGCUGAGGUAAGUAAAGUGGCGCACGGGUGAGUAACGCGUGGGUAAUCUGUCCUUGGGUUCGGGAUAACUCCGCGAAAGCGGGGCUAAUACCGGAUGACAUCAUUGAGGCUUUGGUUUCAAUGAUUAAAGGUGGCCUCUCCAUGGAAGCUAUUGCUUGGGGGUGAGCCCGCGUACCAUUAGCUGGUUGGUAGGGUAAUGGCCUACCAAGGCGACGAUGGUUAGCUGGUCUGAGAGGAUGAUCAGCCACACUGGAACUGACACACGGUCCAGACUCCUACGGGAGGCAGCAGUGAGGAAUUUUGCGCAAUGGGGGGAACCCUGACGCAGCAACGCCGCGUGAGUGAUGAAGGCCUUCGGGUCGUAAAGCUCUGUCAAGUGGGAAGAAUCCAUCCUGGCCCAACACGUUGGGGUGUUGACGGUACCACUGAAGGAAGCACCGGCUAACUCCGUGCCAGCAGCCGCGGUAAUACGGAGGGUGCAAGCGUCAUUCGGAAUUAUUGGGCGUAAAGGGCGCGUAGGCGGCCAGGCAAGUCAGAUGUGAAAUCCCGGGGCUUAACCCCGGAAGUGCAUUUGAAACUGCUUGGCUUGAGUAUGGGAGAGGGAAGUGGAAUUCCUGGUGUAGCGGUGAAAUGCGUAGAUAUCAGGAGGAACACCGGUGGCGAAGGCGGCUUCCUGGACCAAUACUGACGCUGAGGCGCGAAGGCGUGGGGAGCAAACAGGAUUAGAUACCCUGGUAGUCCACGCAGUAAACGGUGAUCACUAGGUGUAGCGGGUAUUGACCCCUGCUGUGCCCGGAGUUAACGCAUUAAGUGAUCCGCCUGGGGAGUACGGGCGGCAAGUUCAAACUCAAAGGAAUUGACGGGGGGCCGCACAAGCGGUGGAGCAUGUGGUUCAAUUCGAGGCAACGCGAAGAAC